AUUGAACGCCGGCGGCAUGCCUUACACAUGCAAGUCGAACGGCAGCACGGGGCAACCUGGUGGCGAGUGGCGAACGGGUGAGUAAUGCAUCGGAACGUACCCGGAAGUGGGGGAUAACGUAGCGAAAGUUACGCUAAUACCGCAUAUUCUGUGCGCAGGAAAGAGGGGGAUCUUCGGACCUCUUGCUUUCGGAGCGGCCGAUGUCAGAUUAGCUAGUUGGUGAGGUAAAGGCUCACCAAGGCGACGAUCUGUAGCGGGUCUGAGAGGAUGAUCCGCCACACUGGGACUGAGACACGGCCCAGACUCCUACGGGAGGCAGCAGUGGGGAAUUUUGGACAAUGGGCGCAAGCCUGAUCCAGCCAUGCCGCGGGAGUGAAGAAGGCCUUCGGGUUGUAAAGCUCUUUCGGCCGGGAAGAAAUCGCGUGAGUUAAUACCUUGCGUGGAUGACGGUACCGGAAUAAGAAGCACCGGCUAACUACGUGCCAGCCGCCGCAGUAAGAC
rnacentral:rRNA from 1 species